GUUUGGUGAGUGCCGAAGGAGGAUUUGACAAAGCUAAUUGUGUGUGUGUGUGUGUGUGUGUGUGUGUGUGUGUGUGUGUGUGCAGGUGCGUGUGUGUGUGCAUGUGCGUGCCUGGUUUCUGUGUCGGUGUGUGCAGGCACGCAUUAAUUAACGUAAUUCCUCAACAUCCAACAAGAGCGCAUCAGAAACCCGGGAGAAAAAGCCUCAUGCAUAUUUAGAUGAGCCUUCUACCUUCCAACCAGCGUGAAAAGAGUAUUUAGAGGGGAGAUGGUCUGGGCUAAUCUGCAUGUGAAUCAGGGGGGUGGACAAAAGGAUGAAAAGGCGGUGGAAACUCGAACACCAACCCUGCGGUCUCCAGGGGGUCAUUCAUCUUGCCGCGGUCGACAUCCUCGCGGCCUGGCUUCCUUCUGCGCAUGAGCGAACAGAGCCUUUUCCCAAAGACAGUUGGCAAAGGGCUGGUCUCGAACUCCUGACCUCAAGUGAUCCGCCUGCCUUGGCCUCCCAAAGGGCUGGGAUUACAGGUGUGAACCACCACGCCCAGCCGGAUCUUGCUCUGUUGCCCAGGCUGGAGUGCAAUGGUGUGAUCACAGCUCACUGCAACCUCUGCCUCCCUGAUCCUCCCACCUCAAUCUCCCAAGUAGCUGGGUCUACAGGUAUGUGGCACCAGACUCUGUUAAUUUUUGUAUUUUCUAUAGAGAUAGGGUCUCACUAUGUUGCCUAGACUGGUUUCAAAAUCCCGGGCUCAAGUGAUCCACCUGCCUUGGCCUCCCAAAAUGCUGGGAUUACUGGCACAAGCACCGCACCCGACCCUCUGCAGCUACUUACUCCUCCUAAGCAUCAGCCCUCUCAUCUCUGAAACAUGGCUCUUCCUGCCUACCUCAAAUAUUGGCUGUAAGGAUGAAAAUAAACAAUGAAGAUAAGGGUUUUGCAGAGCUU